AACGAACGCUGGCGGCAUGCCUAACACAUGCAAGUCGAACGAGACCUUCGGGGCUAGUGGCGCACGGGUGCGUAACGCGUGGGAACCUGCCCUUAGGUUCGGAAUAACUCCCCGAAAGGGGUGCUAAUACCGGAUAAUGUCUUCGGACCAAAGAUUUAUCGCCUUUGGAUGGGCCCGCGUUGGAUUAGCUAGUUGGUAGGGUAAAAGCCUACCAAGGCGACGAUCCAUAGCUGGUCUGAGAGGAUGAUCAGCCACACUGGGACUGAGACACGGCCCAGACUCCUACGGGAAGCAGCAGUGGGGAAUAUUGGACAAUGGGCGAAAGCCUGAUCCAGCAAUGCCGCGUGAGUGAUGAAGGCCUUAGGGUUGUAAAGCUCUUUUGCCCGGGAUGAUAAUGACAGUACCGGGAGAAUAAGCUCCGGCUAACUCCGUG
rnacentral:rRNA from 1 species